rnacentral:rRNA from 1 species
GGGUUGUGAGGUUAAGCGACUAAGCGUACACGGUGGAUGCCCUGGCAGUCAGAGGCGAUGAAGGACGUGCUAAUCUGCGAUAAGCGUCGGUAAGGUGAUAUGAACCGUUAUAACCGGCGAUUUCCGAAUGGGGAAACCCAGUGUGUUUCGACACACUAUCAUUAACUGAAUCCAUAGGUUAAUGAGGCGAACCGGGGGAACUGAAACAUCUAAGUACCCCGAGGAAAAGAAAUCAACCGAGAUUCCCCCAGUAGCGGCGAGCGAACGGGGAGGAGCCCAGAGCCUGAAUCAGUGUGUGUGUUAGUGGAAGCGUCUGGAAAGGCGCGCGAUACAGGGUGACAGCCCCGUACACAAAAAUGCACAUACUGUGAGCUCGAUGAGUAGGGCGGGACACGUGGUAUCCUGUCUGAAUAUGGGGGGACCAUCCUCCAAGGCUAAAUACUCCUGACUGACCGAUAGUGAACCAGUACCGUGAGGGAAAGGCGAAAAGAACCCCGGCGAGGGGAGUGAAAAAGAACCUGAAACCGUGUACGUACAAGCAGUGGGAGCCUCUUUUAUGGGGUGACUGCGUACCUUUUGUAUAAUGGGUCAGCGACUUAUAUUCUGUAGCAAGGUUAACCGAAUAGGGGAGCCGAAGGGAAACCGAGUCUUAACUGGGCGUUAAGUUGCAGGGUAUAGACCCGAAACCCGGUGAUCUAGCCAUGGGCAGGUUGAAGGUUGGGUAACACUAACUGGAGGACCGAACCGACUAAUGUUGAAAAAUUAGCGGAUGACUUGUGGCUGGGGGUGAAAGGCCAAUCAAACCGGGAGAUAGCUGGUUCUCCCCGAAAGCUAUUUAGGUAGCGCCUCGUGAACUCAUCUCCGGGGGUAGAGCACUGUUUCGGCAAGGGGGUCAUCCCGACUUACCAACCCGAUGCAAACUGCGAAUACCGGAGAAUGUUAUCACGGGAGACACACGGCGGGUGCUAACGUCCGUCGUGAAGAGGGAAACAACCCAGACCGCCAGCUAAGGUCCCAAAGUCAUGGUUAAGUGGGAAACGAUGUGGGAAGGCCCAGACAGCCAGGAUGUUGGCUUAGAAGCAGCCAUCAUUUAAAGAAAGCGUAAUAGCUCACUGGUCGAGUCGGCCUGCGCGGAAGAUGUAACGGGGCUAAACCAUGCACCGAAGCUGCGGCAGCGACACUAUGUGUUGUUGGGUAGGGGAGCGUUCUGUAAGCCUGUGAAGGUGUGCUGUGAGGCAUGCUGGAGGUAUCAGAAGUGCGAAUGCUGACAUAAGUAACGAUAAAGCGGGUGAAAAGCCCGCUCGCCGGAAGACCAAGGGUUCCUGUCCAACGUUAAUCGGGGCAGGGUGAGUCGACCCCUAAGGCGAGGCCGAAAGGCGUAGUCGAUGGGAAACAGGUUAAUAUUCCUGUACUUGGUGUUACUGCGAAGGGGGGACGGAGAAGGCUAUGUUGGCCGGGCGACGGUUGUCCCGGUUUAAGCGUGUAGGCUGGUUUUCCAGGCAAAUCCGGAAAAUCAAGGCUGAGGCGUGAUGACGAGGCACUACGGUGCUGAAGCAACAAAUGCCCUGCUUCCAGGAAAAGCCUCUAAGCAUCAGGUAACAUCAAAUCGUACCCCAAACCGACACAGGUGGUCAGGUAGAGAAUACCAAGGCGCUUGAGAGAACUCGGGUGAAGGAACUAGGCAAAAUGGUGCCGUAACUUCGGGAGAAGGCACGCUGAUAUGUAGGUGAAGCGACUUGCUCGUGGAGCUGAAAUCAGUCGAAGAUACCAGCUGGCUGCAACUGUUUAUUAAAAACACAGCACUGUGCAAACACGAAAGUGGACGUAUACGGUGUGACGCCUGCCCGGUGCCGGAAGGUUAAUUGAUGGGGUCAGCGCAAGCGAAGCUCUUGAUCGAAGCCCCGGUAAACGGCGGCCGUAACUAUAACGGUCCUAAGGUAGCGAAAUUCCUUGUCGGGUAAGUUCCGACCUGCACGAAUGGCGUAAUGAUGGCCAGGCUGUCUCCACCCGAGACUCAGUGAAAUUGAACUCGCUGUGAAGAUGCAGUGUACCCGCGGCAAGACGGAAAGACCCCGUGAACCUUUACUAUAGCUUGACACUGAACAUUGAGCCUUGAUGUGUAGGAUAGGUGGGAGGCUUAGAAGUGUGGACGCCAGUCUGCAUGGAGCCGACCUUGAAAUACCACCCUUUAAUGUUUGAUGUUCUAACGUUGACCCGUGAUCCGGGUUGCGGACAGUGUCUGGUGGGUAGUUUGACUGGGGCGGUCUCCUCCUAAAGAGUAACGGAGGAGCACGAAGGUUGGCUAAUCCUGGUCGGACAUCAGGAGGUUAGUGCAAUGGCAUAAGCCAGCUUGACUGCGAGCGUGACGGCGCGAGCAGGUGCGAAAGCAGGUCAUAGUGAUCCGGUGGUUCUGAAUGGAAGGGCCAUCGCUCAACGGAUAAAAGGUACUCCGGGGAUAACAGGCUGAUACCGCCCAAGAGUUCAUAUCGACGGCGGUGUUUGGCACCUCGAUGUCGGCUCAUCACAUCCUGGGGCUGAAGUAGGUCCCAAGGGUAUGGCUGUUCGCCAUUUAAAGUGGUACGCGAGCUGGGUUUAGAACGUCGUGAGACAGUUCGGUCCCUAUCUGCCGUGGGCGCUGGAGAACUGAGGGGGGCUGCUCCUAGUACGAGAGGACCGGAGUGGACGCAUCACUGGUGUUCGGGUUGUCAUGCCAAUGGCACUGCCCGGUAGCUAAAUGCGGAAGAGAUAAGUGCUGAAAGCAUCUAAGCACGAAACUUGCCCCGAGAUGAGUUCUCCCUGACCCUUUAAGGGUCCUGAAGGAACGUUGAAGACGACGACGUUGAUAGGCCGGGUGUGUAAGCGCAGCGAUGCGUUGAGCUAACCGGUACUAAUGAACCGUGAGGCUUAACCUUACAACGCCGAAGCUGUU